rnacentral:lncRNA from 1 species
UCAUUCAUUUAUUUUGUUCUAAGUUUCAAAUCUACAAAUUACACGAAGCCAAACUCACAUAUGGAAGAAAUUUCACAUCCUACGCAGAUGAUUAAACAACAAAAAUAUGAUAUAUGAGCUUAAGAUAAUCUACAAAUUUUCCAUUUAUAAAAUUUUGUUCUAAUUAUCAUUUUGAGUACGUUAUGUUAUCUAAUUGGAUAUAAAGUAUAUUUAGGCCCAGUUUGAUAGCCUUGUUAUAGCUGUAUUACUUCCUUUCCUGGGCUAAUAUUUCUGUUUGAAAGCUAAGUAAAAUAAUCAAGGAAGCCCAUGUUAAAGGAAAGGCCCGAGGCUAAAUCACUGUAGCAUCAAGGAAACACAAUCGAGGCCACCCCCUGAUUAGCUAAGCUGGAGUUGCAAGUUUAAUUUUCUUUCACAAAAUUGCCCCCAAUUCAUCUCUCUCUCCCUUCCUUGUUUCUUCUUCCUCUUUGGAGAAUCACGCACACACACAUAUAGAGAGGUCAUCUGAAACUGUCAUGCAAAAGCCCCACCAGUCGGCGCCGCCACAUUCUGGUGCUGCACCUGAAUCUGCGCCAUUGCUUCAAUUUCAGCUAUAUUCAUGAUUCUAGGGGAUAUUUUCUCUCUCGUUAUUGAUUUGAGAUAAUAACAGGGAAACAAGCAAUGCUAAAGGUGGAUAAAAAAAAGUACAACUCUUUUUGGGUUUUCGGCUAGGCAUAUGUUAAAUUGGGGUAUAAAUUUUGGGAUGGGAAUAGGAAACUUUAGAGAGAGAAAAUUGUGGGGGUUUUUUUGUUAGGGAGGGCAGGGAACUGCACCGCACUCCGGCGAACAACAGCGAAAGCCGCCACCACCGAUCUCCCUCCAUUUCUUACCGUCGGACAACAGCAGCUUUUUUCGCGUCUCUCUCUCUACAUCACUGCCCUUUUUCCUUGGUAAAAUCUCUAUGCAAUUUCCAUUUUUUAGAGAGAGUGAGGGAG